UGAGGAAUAUUGGUCAAUGGGCGCAAGCCUGAGCCAGCCAUCCCGCGUGCAGGAAGACGGCCCUAUGGGUUGUAAACUGCUUUUCCAGGGGGAGAAUUUUUCUGUCGUGACAGGAAUUGACGGUACCCUGGGAAUAAGCAUCGGCUAACUCCGUGCCAGCAGCCGCGGUAAUACGGAGGAUGCGAGCGUUAUCCGGAGUUAUUGGGUUUAAAGGGUGCGUAGGCGGAUUGAUAAGUCAGUGGUGAAAACCUGCAGCUUAACUGUAGACUUGCCGUUGAUACUGUCAGUCUUGAGUGUGGUCAAGGUAGGCGGAAUGUGUAAUGUAGCGGUGAAGUGCUUAGAUAUUACACAGAACACCGAUUGCGAAGGCAGCUUACUGGGCCAUUACUGACGCUGAUGCACGAAAGCGUGGGGAUCGAACAG
rnacentral:rRNA from 1 species